rnacentral:rRNA from 1 species
AACGAACGCUGGCGGCAUGCCUAACACAUGCAAGUCGAACGAGACCCCAACUUCGGUUGGACGUCUAGUGGCGCACGGGUGCGUAACGCGUGGGAAUCUGCCCUUAGGUUCGGAAUAACUCGGAGAAAUACCGAGCUAAUACCGGAUAAUGACGUAAGUCCAAAGAUUUAUCGCCUAAGGAUGAGCCCGCGUAGGAUUAGCUUGUUGGUGAGGUAAAAGCUCACCAAGGCGACGAUCCUUAGCUGGUCUGAGAGGAUGAUCAGCCACACUGGGACUGAGACACGGCCCAGACUCCUACGGGAGGCAGCAGUGGGGAAUAUUGGACAAUGGGCGAAAGCCUGAUCCAGCAAUGCCGCGUGAGUGAUGAAGGCCUUAGGGUUGUAAAGCUCUUUUACCCGGGAUGAUAAUGACAGUACCGGGAGAAUAAGCUCCGGCUAACUCCGUGCCAGCAGCCGCCGUAA